AGUCGAACGAGUUCUGAUUAUUGAAAGGUGCUUGCAUCUUGAUUUAAUUUUGAACGAGUGGCGGACGGGUGAGUAACACGUGGGUAACCUGCCCUUAAGUGGGGGAUAACAUUUGGAAACAGAUGCUAAUACCGCAUAAAUCCAAGAACCGCAUGGUUCUUGGCUGAAAGAUGGCGUAAGCUAUCGCUUUUGGAUGGACCCGCGGCGUAUUAGCUAGUUGGUGAGGUAACGGCUCACCAAGGCAAUGAUACGUAGCCGAACUGAGAGGUUGAUCGGCCACAUUGGGACUGAGACACGGCCCAAACUCCUACGGGAGGCAGCAGUAGGGAAUCUUCCACAAUGGACGCAAGUCUGAUGGAGCAACGCCGCGUGAGUGAAGAAGGCUUUCGGGUCGUAAAACUCUGUUGUUGGAGAAGAAUGGUCGGCAGAGUAACUGUUGUCGGCGUGACGGUAUCCAACCAGAAAGCCACGGCUAACUACGUGCCAGCAGCCGCGGUAAUACGUAGGUGGCAAGCGUUAUCCGGAUUUAUUGGGCGUAAAGCGAGCGCAGGCGGUUUUUUAAGUCUGAUGUGAAAGCCCUCGGCUUAACCGAGGAAGUGCAUCGGAAACUGGGAAACUUGAGUGCAGAAGAGGACAGUGGAACUCCAUGUGUAGCGGUGAAAUGCGUAGAUAUAUGGAAGAACACCAGUGGCGAAGGCGGCUGUCUGGUCUGUAACUGACGCUGAGGCUCGAAAGCAUGGGUAGCGAACAGGAUUAGAUACCCUGGUAGUCCAUGCCGUAAACGAUGAAUGCUAGGUGUUGGAGGGUUUCCGCCCUUCAGUGCCGCAGCUAACGCAUUAAGC
rnacentral:rRNA from 2 species